GAUUGACCUCGGAUCAGGUUUGGAUACCCGCUGAACUUUAAGCAUAU
rnacentral:rRNA from 1 species